CUCAGGACGAACGCUGGCGGCGUGCUUAACACAUGCAAGUCGAACGGAAAGGCCCUGCUUUUGUGGGGUGCUCGAGUGGCGAACGGGUGAGUAACACGUGAGUACCUGCCCUUGACUUUGGGAUAACUUCAGGAAACUGGGGCUAAUACCGGAUAGGAGCUCCUGCUGCAUGGUGGGGGUUGGAAAGUUUCGGCGGUUGGGGAUGGACUCGCGGCUUAUCAGCUUGUUGGUGGGGUAGUGGCUUACCAAGGCUUUGACGGGUAGCCGGCCUGAGAGGGUGACCGGCCACAUUGGGACUGAGAUACGGCCCAGACUCCUACGGGAGGCAGCAGUGGGGAAUAUUGCACAAUGGGCGGAAGCCUGAUGCAGCAACGCCGCGUGCGGGAUGACGGCCUUCGGGUUGUAAACCGCUUUCGCCUGUGACGAAGCGUGAGUGACGGUAAUGGGUAAAGAAGCACCGGCUAACUACGUGCCAGCAGCCGCGGUGAUACGUAGGGUGCGAGCGUUGUCCGGAUUUAUUGGGCGUAAAGGGCUCGUAGGUGGUUGAUCGCGUCGGAAGUGUAAUCUUGGGGCUUAACCCUGAGCGUGCUUUCGAUACGGGUUGACUUGAGGAAGGUAGGGGAGAAUGGAAUUCCUGGUGGAGCGGUGGAAUGCGCAGAUAUCAGGAGGAACACCAGUGGCGAAGGCGGUUCUCUGGGCCUUUCCUGACGCUGAGGAGCGAAAGCGUGGGGAGCGAACAGGCUUAGAUACCCUGGUAGUCCACGCUGUAAACGGUGGGUACUAGGUGUGGGGUCCAUUCCACGGGUUCCGUGCCGUAGCUAACGCUUUAAGUACCCCGCCUGGGGAGUACGGCCGCAAGGCUAAAACUCAAAGGAAUUGACGGGGCCCCGCACAAGCGGCGGAGCAUGCGGAUUAAUUCGAUGCAACGCGUAGAACCUUACCUGGGUUUGACAUGGAUCGGGAGUGCUCAGAGAUGGGUGUGCCUCUUUUGGGGUCGGUUCACAGGUGGUGCAUGGCUGUCGUCAGCUCGUGUCGUGAGAUGUUGGGUUAAGUCCCGCAACGAGCGCAACCCUUGUUCACUGUUGCCAGCACGUUAUGGUGGGGACUCAGUGGAGACCGCCGGGGUCAACUCGGAGGAAGGUGGGGAUGACGUCAAGUCAUCAUGCCCCUUAUGUCCAGGGCUUCACGCAUGCUACAAUGGCUGGUACAGAGAGUGGCGAGCCUGUGAGGGUGAGCGAAUCUCGGAAAGCCGGUCUCAGUUCGGAUUGGGGUCUGCAACUCGACCUCAUGAAGUCGGAGUCGCUAGUAAUCGCAGAUCAGCAACGCUGCGGUGAAUACGUUCCCGGGGCUUGUACACACCGCCCGUCAAGUCAUGAAAGUUGGUAACACCCGAAGCCGGUGGCCUAACCGUUGUGGGGGAGCCGUCGAAGGUGGGACUGGUGAUUAGGACUAAGUCGUAACAAGGU
rnacentral:rRNA from 1 species